rfam:Oryza sativa (indica cultivar-group) chromosome 8, whole genome shotgun sequence.
AAUAAGUGCAGUUUUGUUUGAAAAUUUCAACGUUUAACCGUCCGUCUUAUUUGAAAAUUUUUUAUGAUUAGUAUUUUUAUUGCUAUUAGAUGAUAAAACAUAAAUAGUACUUUAUGUGUGACUAAAUGUUUUUAACUUUUUCACAAAUUUUUCAAAUAAGACGGACGGUCAAACGUUGAACGUGAAUAGUGCAAAACUGCACUUAUU